AAACUGAGAUGUUUGUAGUUUUUAUGUAGGUUUAAUAAAUAAAACCUAGCAUUAUGAUUAGAUUUAUAAUGACGGCGCAAAUAACCUAAAAUUUAUAUCAUGGUGAUUUUGCAUAAAGUGCCACAGAGACGAGUAUUAAUGAAAAUUAAUAGUGAAACGUUGGUAAACCCCAUAAGUG
rnacentral:RNase_P_RNA from 1 species